rnacentral:rRNA from 1 species
UGAGGAAUAUUGCGCAAUGGGCGAAAGCCUGACGCAGCGACGCCGCGUGGGGGAUGAAGGUCUUCGGAUUGUAAACUCCUGUUAAGUGGGAAGAAAGAUGUACUAUUAAUACCAGUACAUUAUGACGGUACCAUUAGAGAAAGCACUGGCUAACCUCGUGCCAGCAGCCGCGGUAAUACGAGGGGUGCGAGCGUUAUUCGGAUUAAUUGGGCGUAAAGGGUGCGUAGAUGGUAUAUUAAGUUCGUUGUUAAAUUCUCCGGCUCAACCGGAGACCAGCAAUGAAAACUGGUGUACUUGAGGGUGGGAGAGAGAAGUGGAAUUCCCGGAGUAGCGGUAAAAUGCGUAGAUCUCGGGAGGAACACCGAUAGCGAAGGCAGCUUCUUGGCCCAUUCCUGACAUUGAGGCACGAAAGCGUGGGGAGCAAACAGGAUUAGAUACCCCCGUAGUCC